CGGAGGGUGCAAGCGUUAUCCGGAUUCACUGGGUUUAAAGGGUGCGUAGGCGGACUGUUAAGUCAGUGGUGAAAUCUCAGAGCUUAACUCUGAAACUGCCAUUGAUACUAUCAGUCUUGAAUGUUCUGGAGGUGAGCGGAAUAUGUCAUGUAGCGGUGAAAUGCUUAGAUAUGACAUAGAACACCCAUUGCGAAGGCAGCUCACUACGGAAAUAUUGACGCUGAGGCACGAAAGCGUGAGGAUCAAACAGGAUUAGAUACCCUGGUAGUUCACGCCCUAAACGAUGGAUACUCGACAUACGCGAUACACAGUGUGUGUCUGAGCGAAAGCAUUAAGUAUCCCACCUGGGAAGUACGACCGCAAGGUUG
rnacentral:rRNA from 1 species